rnacentral:sRNA from 2 species
UACGGGGAAGGAUGAGAAGCUUCGACCAAGGUUCGAUUCGAGCGCAGCGAGAAAGCGUUGCCGCAGGCAACGACCCGAAGGGCGAAGCGCGCAGCGCUGAGUCAUCCUUCCCCCACCACCA